rnacentral:rRNA from 1 species
UACGUAGGGUGCGAGCGUUGUCCGGAAUUAUUGGGCGUAAAGGGCUCGUAGGCGGUUUGUCGCGUCGGGAGUGAAAUCCACUGGCUUAACUGGUGGCUUGCUUUCGAUACGGGCAGACUGGAGGUAUGCAGGGGAGAACGGAAUUCCUGGUGUAGCGGUGAAGUGCGCAGAUAUCAGGAGGAACACCGGUGGCGAAGGCGGUUCUCUGGGCAUGUCCUGACGCUGAGGAGCGAAAGUGUGGGGAGCGAACAGG